CGUAGGAGGCGAGCGUUAUCCGGAUUCACUGGGCGUAAAGCGCAUGUAGGCGGUUCGGUAAGUCCGUUGUUAAAGCCCCUGGCUCAACUGGGGGAGGUCAAUGGAGACUAUCGGACUUGAGGGUAACAGAGGCACAUGGAACUCCCGGUGUAGCGGUGGAAUGCGUAGAGAUCGGGAAGAACACCCGUGGCGAAGGCGGUGUGCUGGGUUAUACCUGACGCUGAGAUGCGAAAGUGUGGGGAGCAAACGGGAUUAGAUACCCCGGUAGUCCACACUGUAAACGAUGAACCCUAGGUGUGGGGGGAUAAAACCCUCCGUGCCGAAGCCAACGCGUUAAGGGUUCCGCCUGGGGACUAUGAGCGCAAGCUUA
rnacentral:rRNA from 1 species